UUGCAGCACUAUUCUGAUCCAAACAAACACUUUGUAUAAUAUAUAGACAUAGAUGCCUAUAUAUUAAUUAUCUCUCCCAAUUAAUGCCCAAAAUUCCAUAUCCUUUUGCCUUUUCUACCCAUUCUCAUUUAGUCAUUUCAAAAUUUAUUACUACCAACAUAGCUUUAGCUUAGCUUACUUCAAAAAAUUAUGUCAAAACAACUUGGACAAUUCCUUCAAGAACAACAAGAACCAUUUACCUUACAAAUCUAUCUUCUUGAAAGAGGUCAAUUUAAAAACAAACAUCUUAUUUCGGAUCGCGAUUUUCGAUGUUGUUCUACAGAUUCUAGUACUUAUUUGUUCUUGAAGAGAUCAGCUAGUUGUGGUGCAAAGAAGAGAAGGAAACAGAUUCUUAAUUGUUCAAAGAUUGUGAAAUCUGUGUUUAAUAAAGUUGUUACAUUUAGCCAUAAUCAAAAAAUAAAGAAUUUGGCAAAUGAUCAAGAACACAACAAUUCUACAAGCAAAAAUAGUAAUGUUAUUGCAAAUGAUGAGAAAAUUUCUUCAACAAGUAGUAGGACUGUGUUCAAUUCUUGUUAUGAUUCUAGUGAUGCAUAUGGCAACUUUCUACAUGAAAAACAGAUUGGUUGUUGAUAAGGUAACAGGUUUUUGAAGAGAGAAGAAAGUUAAGGUUGGAAUUUCUUGAAGAAAGUAAGCAACUCAGUCCUGUGUCAGUUCUAGAAGAAACUGAAUCUUCUGAUGAUGAUGAUUCUCCACAUGUUAAAAAACAAGAAUGUGUCAAGGCAAAGAAACAAGAGGAAUUUCCAAGUCAAUCAGUUUCAAAUUCAGAAGAAACAAGCCACGAGUCUCAGUACAUUAAGAACAAGAAAGCAAUACAAGAAUCAAGACAACUCCUUUUUGAUUGUGUUAAAGAAGUGGUGGAAAAUCAAAAAGGGAAAGAAGAAGAAUUUCAAAGAAUUUUAGGAGCUGAGCAACUAUGGGAGCUUCUAUUACAAAAUAUUUGGUUAUGGAGCCAAGAAUCCAUAAAUGAAACUAAUAUCAAACAAUUAAUUCCCAUUUCUAGUAUGUUGAGUUCUUUUGAAGAGUCAAGUGGAGUUGAGGAGAAAAGGGAAAUAGGUAAGGUGGUUGGUGAUUUAAUUUUUGUUGAUAUUAGUAAUGAGAUUGUAUUAGAUAUGUUAAAUUAUUCUUCUUUAAGAUGAA